GACGAACGCUGGCGGCGUGCUUAACACAUGCAAGUCGAGCGGAAAGGCCCUGUUUUUGUGGCGUGCGCGUGUGGAGAACAGGGGAGUAACACGUGAGUGACAUGUGCCUGACAGUGGGAUACAAUCAGGAAACUGGAGCGAAAAUAGGAUAGGAGAUCCUGAAGCAUGGUGGGGGUGGGAAAGAUUCGCCGGUUCGGCAUGGACACGCGGCUUAUCAGCGUGUUGGUGGGGUAGUGGCUUAACAGGGCUUUGACGGGUAGCCGGCCUGGGAGGGUGACCGGCCACAUUGGGACUGGGGUACCACCCAGACUCCUACGGGGGGCAGCAGUGGGGAAUAUUGCACGAUGGGCGGCGGCCUGAUGCAGCAACGCCGCGUGCGGGAUGACGGCCUUCGGGUUGUAAAGCGCUUGCGCCUGUGACGAAGCUUGAGUGACGGUAAUGGGUAAAGAAGCACCGGCUAACUACGUG
rnacentral:rRNA from 1 species